GGUGAGAUGGCUCAGUGGGUAAGAGCACCCGACUGCUCUUCCGAUGGUCCAGAGUUCAAAUCCCAGCAACCA
rnacentral:tRNA from 1 species